rnacentral:rRNA from 1 species
AUUGAACGCCGGCGGCAGGCCUAACACAUGCAAGUCGAACGGUAGCACAGAGAGCUUGCUCUCGGGUGACGAGUGGCGGACGGGUGAGGAACGUCUGGGAAACUGCCCGAUGGAGGGGGAUAACUACGGGAAACGGUAGCUAAUACCGCAUAACGUCGCAAGACCAAAGAGGGGGACCUUCGGGCCUCACACCAUCGGAUGUGACCAGAUGGGAUUAGCUAGUAGGUGGGGUAAUGGCUCACCUAGGCGACGAUCCCUAGCUGGUCUGAGAGGAUGACCAGCCACACUGGAACUGAGACACGGUCCAGACUCCUACGGGAGGCAGCAGUGGGGAAUAUUGCACAAUGGGCGCAAGCCUGAUGCAGCCAUGCCGCGUGUAUGAAGAAGGCCUUCGGGUUGUAAAGUACUUUCAGCGGGGAGGAAGGCGGUGAAGUUAAUAGCUUCACCGAUUGACGUUACCCGCAGAAGAAGCACCGGCUAACUCCGUGCCAGCCGCCGCGGUAA